rnacentral:lncRNA from 1 species
UCUUUAUCUAUCCCCUAGUGUAGCUCACAUGGCCGUUUUGACUUUGGACUCUAAGGACCCAAGUGGGUGGGAAGAGGUCAGCCAGACGAGGAGAGGCUACUCGUAACCUGCCCACCCCUGCCCACCAUAAGCCCAGUUCUUCUUCACUUCCGUAGACUUCCAGCCAGCUGUCCCGGGGUUCAGCCACAACACCUCGUGGUGUUCUGCACACUUUCAGCCAGUCACCCAAACUGCAGAACGCAGCCUCAGCUACGGCCCUGGUAAGCAGGACUGGCAGACAUUCCGAGAGAGUCGUGGGCACCAGCAAGGGCACCGCCUCCAACUGGAAAAAGACACCUCUGAGCACAGGUGGGACGCUUGCCUUCGUCAGCCCAAGCUUGGCAGUGCACAAGAGCUCCUCGGCCGUGGACCGACAGCGAGAGUACCUCCUGGACAUGAUUCCUCCACGCUCCAUCCCCCAGUCAGCCACAUGGAAAUAGUGGGAGCCGGCCCAGCCGAGGACAGGCCCUCUGCUCUCCCGAGGCCCUUGGUCUAGGACACGCAGACUACCCUCCUAGCAAGUUGCCUGAGACAGCUCAGGCCUUGGCUCUUGCCUUGCUGUGGCCAGGAGAGUACCACCAUGGUGCCCAGGAUCAGAACCAGGGACCUUCCCUAUGGGCCUUCUCCUUCCUUUUUGCCUUUAGUUUGCCCGACACCAGCAGAAACUCGGACCUUGGGGCCAGCUCUGCCUGGCCAGCGUGGGUGGGAGCUCACCCUGGACACUGUGACACACCCGGGCCAGACUGGCACCGGGGGCUCCCGAAGUUGAGCCGGGAUUUCGUUUUCUUUUGGCUUUUCCCAUCUU